UACACGGACGCACGCGCUCAUUCCUUCGGCAUCAGACACAGGAGCGACUGCAAUUCCUCCCGUGCCCUGCGGCGGAGUUUUGAAGAAGCUGUCCGUUGGCCUCUGCUGCCUCCACUCAGUUCUCAGCGACCACGCUUCGGAGUCGCCUUCGCCUCCCCCACCCCCCCACCACACCUCAUCGAAACAAGAAUACAUAUAUAUAUAUAUCAUAGGCAAGCCGCGGCUGUGUGUGCGAGCGACGAAGGCGGAUCUUGACUUUCCGGGUAAGCGCCUCCCUAAUACUCGGCAGUAGCGAGUUUCUUACCCCUUUCUCUCUUUCGUUUCCUUCCUCUCAGCACGAGUCGCUCCCACUCACCAUGCCAGCCAUCGGACAAGAGAAGCUGGAGUUCCACAAGUGCUUCCGCAUUCUGCAGACGUCAGCGGAGAUGAUGUCGGAUCGGAAGUACAAGGUGGCACAGCAUGUGGUUCCUAGCUCCCUCGGCGAGUUCAUUGAGCGUUACGUCGAGGAGGUGGAGGUGACGGAGGACGGCGGUGCGGCGGUCGGCGGUGGCCCUAACGAUGCCCCGCCCCGUCGCAAGCAGGUGAUUCGGCGGGACAAGAUGACCCUGGCAUGUGAGCGUGAGGUGGGCGAGGGCAACACGCUCAAGGCGGUCGUAUACUUCUGCCCACCAAACCACCUCUCGUCGGAGGUGGUAAAGAAGAUCGCCGAGGAUGCGCUUAAUGAAGGCUAUCAGCGGGUCGUGUUCGUCACACCAUCGAAGCCGAACCCGAUCGUGCGCAAAACGAUGGACACGUACAACCGUAGUGAGCAGGACCUGCGCUUCGAGCUGUUCGAGGAGGAUGAGCUCUCUGUGAACAUCACCCAUCACGAGCUAGUGCCGAAGCACUCGCCGCUGUCGGAAGAGGAGCUCACAGACGUGCUGCAAGCUCAUGCACUGGAGCUGAAUCAGCUUCCUCGCAUCCUGUCCACCGACCCUGUAGCUCGCUACUACGGACUGAAGCGUGGCCAGGUAGUCCGCAUUGAGCGUAAGAGCAUGUCAGCGGGCCUCUACGUGACCUACCGGCAAGUCGUGUGAAGUUCGCGCAUGCGCUACUCGGCACUCGUAGCACGCACGCAUGGACGUCUGUCUGUCUGUGUCUGCGUGUGUCUCUCUCGACUUGCGUGGCUGAUGUGCGGCAUCGCCUGCCUUGUGUUUGGGGUGGUUUGUGUCUUCACGCGCGCGUUGCUCGCUGUGUGAGGUGUGGCGUUAAUAGGCCCUCCCUCUGUCU
rnacentral:misc_RNA from 1 species